rnacentral:tRNA from 1 species
GCCCGGGUAGCUCAGUGGAUAGAGCAACGGUUUCCUAAACCGCAGGUCGGAGGUUCAAUUCCUCUCCCGGGUACCA